GGGAUCCGAUUUUAGCAUGGAAUAAUAAAAUAGGACGUGUGGUUCUAUUUUGUUGGUUUCUAGGACCGCCGUAAUGAUUAAUAGGGACAGUCGGGGGCAUCAGUAUUCAAUUGUCAGAGGUGAAAUUCUUGGAUUUAUUGAAGACUAACUACUGCGAAAGCAUUUGCCAAGGAUGUUUUCAUUAAUCAGGAACGAAAGUUAGGGGAUCGAAGACGAUCAGAUACCGUCGUAGUCUUAACCAUAAACUAUGCCGACUAGGGAUCGGACGGUGUUAUUUUUUGACCCGUUCGGCACCUUACGAGAAAUCAAAGUGCUUGGGCUCCAGGGGGAGUAUGGUCGCAAGGCUGAAACUUAAAGAAAUUGACGGAAGGGCACCACCAGGGGUGAAACCUGCGGCUUAAUUUGACUCAACACGGGGAAACUCACCAGGUCCAGAAAUCUAGA
rnacentral:rRNA from 1 species